ACUCAAAGGAAUAGACGGGGGCCCGCACAAGCGGUGGAGCAUGUGGUUCAAUUCGAUGCAACGCGAAGAACCUUACCGGGGUUUGAACUGUAGAGGAAACCUCCAGAGAUGGAGUCCCCUAGCAAUAGGUCUCUGCAGAGGUGCUGCAUGGCUGUCGUCAGCUCGUGUCGUGAGAUGUUGGGUUAAGUCCCGCAACGAGCGCAACCCUUGCUGUUAGUUGCUCAUUCCACUUCGGUGGAGUAGCACUCUAAUAGGACUGCUGGUGAUAAACCGGAGGAAGGUGGGGAUGACGUCAAGUCAUCAUGGCCUUUAUGUCCCGGGCUACACACGUGCUACAAUGGCUGGUACAGAGGGUCGCAAAGCCGCAAGGUGGAGCCAAUCCCACAAAACCAGCCUCAGUUCGGAUUGCACUCUGCAACUCGAGUGCAUGAAGGUGGAAUCGCUAGUAAUCGCGGAUCAGCAUGCCGCGGUGAAUACGUUUCCGGGCCUUGUACACACCGCCCGU
rnacentral:rRNA from 1 species